CUGGCACCUACAGGACAGCCACAACCAGCUCCAGUCUUCUGCAACAAAGCUAGUGACCUUCGAGCAAAUCACCAGAUGGUUGGAUGGAGCUACUCUAAGUGGUUCCUAUGAGUUCUGCCCUGUGAGCUACUCAUUGAAAAGAUUUAUGUCAUCAGUUUGA
rnacentral:lncRNA from 1 species